rnacentral:lncRNA from 1 species
CGAAAUGUUGUAAAAUGCGGAUAAUAUAGCUUUGCGAAGUUUGCCGUUUUUCAGUCACAUUUUGUAUUACGCACGGGAAAUUGACAGCCCAAUCGGGUGUUGGGGCAUCAAUUUCCCGUUUGUAAUACAAAAUGACCGAAAAUUGCAAAUUUCGCAAGGCUAUAUUAUCCGCAAUUUACAACAUUUCGCAACGAAACUUUGG